AUGUAUUCCCUCAACCCAAAUACACUAUUCCCUCUCCUUCUCUAAUUCCCCCCCGCAUCCAUCCACAACCCACCCCAAAUUUUCUUCAUAGCUAGAUUCAUCUGGCUCUCUUCUUCUCUAGAUUGCAGCGACCGGCGAUGGCACUUUUGGGGAGGCCGCCCUGCGCUCAGGCCGUGCUCGGGCCUUGGAUCCAGCGCAACAACUUGCCCCGCGAGCAGCCCCUCUUCUCCCAGAUUGCAGCGACCUAUGACGGCAGAUUGGAGCAGGCCGCCCCACCGGCCGAGAUGGGAUCCACCGCACCGACCCUCCCCCUGAGAACCCGACCCUCUUGUCUCCCCAAUUGAAGCCACCAGCGACGACUCUCUAGUGCAACUGCCAGGCUUCACACAUUGGUGGCAUACAAGUCCUAAAUUGUGUUUUUGUAAGAUUCAGAUUAAAGGAGGCCGCCGCACCGCCGACCUUGGAUCCACAGCAUCAAUCCGACUCGAGCACCCGACUCUCUUCUCCCCUGCAAUGGGCGAUGUCUCUCGGUGAUUUACUCAUCCUGCCCUCCUCAUGUCGCCACUGCUUGAUGUUCAGUGAUUCGGGUUCAUGCAUACUACUCGUCAUCCUGCUCUUCUAUGUAAUUUAGGAUUUGCCACAACUUGCUAUGGUAAAAAGCCUGAACCUCUUGCCAAUUAACUUUUGAUAUCCUAUUGAUAGAUGUGUGUAAAACUGCACUAUUACAUUUGUUAUAGCCAGCUAUUGUAAAAAGGCCUGAACCUGAAUAUAUGCUACUGCAGUACAGUUAGCCGUUGUGCAAAUGUUUAGUUAGCUAUCAGAUGCAUGGCCUUAGCUGAGAGAUUUCUUUUGCAACCAUGUGCUCGUAUGGCUACUCUCGCAUACAAAAGGAAACUAUAUGUUGACCAUCUGAUUUUUGAACAAUGCUGUAAUGACAAAAACUAGAUCCUCUUGUUCGCUGAAUGGUGUCAUAAUCAGAUGAACAUAAACACAUGAACUAAAGUAUGCAAGUACAAGCAGGAAGCAGCACAUCCUUGUAUCUACAUGUACGAAUAAACUAGCUUCUGGAUGCAACUACUAUAUGUAUGCUAAAACCUGAAACUUAUGGUUCUGCUGUCCCAUAAAUAGUACUUCAGUAGUGUUGUUAAAACUGAAUAAAGACUGAGCCUGCACCUAAUUUUGACUCGCUACAGAGAUGUAUAGCCCUGCACCAGUGUACUUUUCUCUCCACUACUAGAUAAAAUAGAAUUAACUUAAUCUUUUCCAUGCCUCUCGUAAUUGAUUAGCUACCCAUGAUGUUAAGCAUCUGAAGCCCACAAGCAUUUUUAGUAUGCCCAGAACUUGAUACAAGUAGAUACAUGGUAAACUUCAAUUUUUGACUAUAUUAUGACAUACUAAACUGGGUAAAUCAAUCUGCUCCUAAUUUUGGAUGAGUAUAGUAAAUUUUCUGGUUUUCUAAACUAUGCCAGCAGCUAUAGUAAUCAUAUUUUUUGAUGUUUUUAUUCUGAACAUUCUGUUCUUGUUUUUCAUGGUUUGUUGUCUGCUUCUUCCUGACUGUGCCCCAGCUGCAUCAUGCAUGUUGAUUGCUUCACAUGUUAGAUCACAAUGAAUGAAAUCUUCAUUUUCUAUUUAUAUAAUUUGACAGGAACUGCUUGUUGGCAGUGUUGCCUGUUUACGUCUAUUUUACGCAAUCUAGUUCUUUUUGUCUAGCACCAAUGCGAAGCCAACUUUUAACAGGUAAGUCAAUGUAAUCAGUUAUGUUACAAGUACUCCCAUAUGCUUACUCAUAGUGCAAGAAAGGGUAAAUGCUUUUCAUUAAUUUCACUUUAACUAUUACUUAUAUAUAAUAUUAGUGCAUCCUGUGUUUGCAUCCUAACUUAUCUACUUUAUUAUAUUCAGAUGUAAGCUACAGAAUAAUACAUUUGCACAUAUAAAAUGGCUGCAUCUUUUAAGGCCCAUUUCCAAACAAGUUUAUGCAGAAUCCAUUUAUCUAGUGUAGGCUGAUGGUCUUUUUGCAACUCAUUCAGUUCUAUUAUCUUUUCCAUCUUCAGUUACUAAAAUAAUGCCACCAAGCGAGAGCAUGUGAAGAGACGCAGAGGAAGCAACACGAAGAAUUGGAAGCUGUGAAGAAGAGCGAGCAAGAGAAGAAUGAAGCAUGGCAAAAGAAGCAACAUGAGAGGAUAACGUCAUUGGUUUUCUAUUAAGGGCUCAAGCACGUCGACAAGCAACUCAACAGUCCUAGUACAAACCAGAAGGGUCAUGAAGACCGUCCUUUUGUGAUGGAAAUAGUUGUUGAAUCAUACAUUGCAAUCAUCAUGACAACACAUGUUGUUUUUAGUUAUCUAAAUAUUGCUCUUCAACUUGACUAUUGUUGUGUCAAACUCGUGAGUUGGCGUUAUUUUGUACUGUCAUUUUAGUUUAGAGGACAAUUAGGCUGAGAGAUUGAAUAUAUAGUAUGAUUUGUCAUCCAUUUUAUUUUA